CCGGCUGGGAACUCGUUUUUUAAGGUUGGCCAACGGGGUCCAUUCAGUCAGUUGGGGGGCUCAAGAUUUUACUUUAAAUUUGCAAUCCUUAUCAUUGAAGUGUAGAAGGAAGACUGGAGAGCCCGAUGAGACGCUCUGCUGGCCUCUGAGCAGCGGCUGUCAGCAGAUGCCCCUCCUUAGCCAGGGCCCCAGUGAUGGUCUCUGUGUGUGAGCUGAUUAAAAAUGACGACGAAGAGCCCUCUGCUAUCAGCUCAUGACCCUGAACUCUCCAUUUUAAAAAAGCCUAAAUUGACCUCUUCCAGCAGGGAAGGACGAAGACAGACUCAUCAGACUGGAACUAGGUGGAAGCAGGGAGGAGCUAGGCUCACGGUGGCCGCGUAGCUCAGUUCAUUUCCUGCAGUCCCUAUUUCUGACAUUCUGUCCUCUGGCCGUAUAUGUACAGACCACAUAUUCUAAUGUUUGAUUAGAAAAUACAGCUACUAAAUUCAAUUCUUGCAUCAAAAUUGUAUUUUAAAGUAUAAGCAUGUUUAAUAUUGGUCCUAUGGAAUGAGCCGGUUGCUUUGUUUGUACCCAGAGCUCACAUUAAGCCUCACGUCCAAUCGUGGCUUCCAUCCACUGGGAUGGGCAGAUUCUUCCUAGGGGCCUCCCCUGGCUGUCUCUCACUGUGAACGCCACCCCUGUCUCCUGCCCACACCACUGCGACCUGGCUUACAGAAUCCCCCACUCUCCUUCUAGCCCAGCACAAACUCAGGACGCCAGACGUCCACACUGUCCAAGCUGCUGUGGUUCACCCAAGACUUCGGAGGAAAUAUUCCUUCUUAAAUUUGUGUCAAUAAGCCAGACAGUUUUCCAGCUUCCUUAGAAGUAGUUAUCCUGUGGAGUGUGGACUUCAUUCUUUACCUCCUUAAAUUAAGAUGAAAUUUAGAAAGGCAAAUCGGGCUGCAGUGGGCACCUGCCUGCACAAAGCGGCUGCUGAUUCGCUGAUUUGCAGGAGAUUAAACCCAAUCCGAGAUGGAGGGGGUCUCAUUUCUGUGCUCACAUCGUCAUGCAUGUGGUUGGACGUGUGUGCCUGCGUGUGGACGUGGGCUUCUGCGAGCCCUCCAGAGAGCCUGUAGAGGCUGGUGGUUAUGAACUGUGGGAUGCAACGAGCACUGUGGGCUGCAUGAUCUUUCUUUCCCUGCCUGUCCUCCAAGAGGGGGUGUGUGAGGUAACCACUGCAGACGUUUUGCUGCGUGUCCACGAGGAGAUCGUCUGGUUCUGUUGAUGGAGGUGUUUUCCUAGUUCUGUAGUGAAGUUGGCAGCUUCAGACAUUUUGUUCUCAUGAUGCAGCUCUGACAACUAAGAUGGGCUCCCCUGCCUCGGCCGGGCUCCUCGGUUUCCCGAGAGUGAGGCCUCUGUUGGUCGAUCGUGUUACUGGGUGGCUGUGAGUUACGCAACUCACGAAAACAUCUCAUCCGGAUGGGCGUGGGGCGAGAGGGCGACCCCAGGCGCUGUGAGUAACUUCCCAGCGUGCCGGCUUCUUGCGCGUUCCCAGAGCCUGGUGUGCGGUACCCCAGGUGGGCGGGUGGGUGGCUGGAGUCUGGUUCUCGUCACACAGACCAAGAAUGCGACAUUUAGAUGCGAUCUAAAAACAGCCAUUUUUCCGAAAGCUGUUUACUUUGGAAAGUGUAUCAGGCAGCAGUUUCUGGAGACCCUGUAAUUGUUUUAUGACUUAUGCAGUGAGAACCUAAUUACAAAAAGGACGGGCGCGGUGGCUCAUGCCUAUAAUCCCAGCACUUCAGGAGGCCAAGGCAGGAAGAUCACUUGAGGAGUUUGAGACCAGCCUGGCUAACAUGGUGAAACUCCAUCUCUACUAAAAAUACAAAAAUUAGCCGAGCAUGGUGGUAGGCACCUGUGGUCCCAGAUACUGAGGUGCUGAGGUGGGAGGAGGAUCACUGGAGCCCGAGAGGCAUGACAGGUGUGUACAGGGGCUGAGCGGCUGGUACUCUCUGAAUCUCAAGGGAAGACCUGUAGCCUGUGGGCACUUCACGGGCCAUGGAUGGAGCGCCUGUUGUCAGCCGCUUGGGAGAACUCUAGCGAUGCGGCUGUGCUGAGGCCAGCAUUGGUCUGUAUUGGUCCUACAGAAGGAGCCGGUUGCUUUGUACACAGAGCUCACAUGAAGUCUCAUGUCCAGUCGUGGCUUCCAUCCACUGUGAUGGGCAGAUUCUUCCUAGGGGCCUCCAGUGCACGGCCAGUGAGCUGGGCUCUUUCCAGCAACGCCUUCAGGAGACUCUGGUGGUUUCUUUUCUCCCUCAUUCUCUGAUCAAGAAGACGCUGGGAUGUGCCAUGCAUCCCACAUCUGAGAAAUGCUUGCCUCCUGUGUGCUGGAUGCUGGGCCAUGCGCUGGCGAAGGGAUAGGGCGGUGGAGCCAGUUUAUCCUGAAAGUCCCUUUGCACACAUCUCUUAUUAGGUGUGUGUUGAGACCGAAAAUAAAGUCUGGAACCAGGGUGUCACAGAUGGGGGUCACAGACACACAGCAGAUAUAGCAUGGUGCUCCCAGCAGAGGUGGAGCUCCCAGCAGAGAUGUGGGAGAGCAUGUACAGUCGCUGGACUCAGCCUGUGUGCAGCAAGAAAUUCAUUAGGGGAUCUCUGGCCCCGGGUGCCACCUGGGAGCAUGCGUGUGCAGGGCCACCUGGCCCGCGAGGGCCCUGGGAUGGCCUGACCCGUCAGGGAUGCUGGCAGCAGGGCUGGCUCCGUUACCAAAAGGGGAAGCAAAGGCUCUCCAGGGCCUCCCUGGGGCUCGCACCGUCCUGAGGUCUUCAGCCCCCCUGGAGACGGAAGGGAGGUGGCCGAGUGGCCUGUGGCGCAGGGCUCCUUUGCUGUUCCUUGCAGCCUGGGGGUCUUUGACUCUUGGAGCUGAGUGACAGGUGGGGAUUUUUGCCCCUCUAAUGGUCUUUGGAUGAUAAACUCCCAAACUGAUGCGCCAGGCUGGUGUCUUUACAAUGCGUGCUCUGAGGAAAGCUAGUCUGUGAAGUGAUGCAUUAAAGGGUUCUGUUAUGGGUUGGGAGUCUGAGUCCCUCUCGGGGAGAGCCGUGGUGCCGGGAGCAGCUGGAGGCCUUGGGGCCGUGCUUAGCUUUGCUUCCCCAGCUUUGCUGACCCCAGUGAGCUCUUCCCCACGUGGUACCUGUCAGCAGUGCAACAGGAAGUUCUCUGUGUGUUAAACCACACGAGGGGUUCAGAGCUAUCCCCAGGGCAGACCUGGAGUUUUUUCUGGUGUUCCUUAAAAGCAUCUGAUGAAUAUUGGGAUGAAUUUCCAGAAGAACUUGGAAGAGACUUUCUCCUUUCUGCAAACUACAUGGUCAGAUCAGCACAUGAUAGGAAUCUGGAUGGUGGAGGAGAAGAUGUGGGUCAAUCUCCCCAGUGCCCCAAAUCCAGUGAAAUGACAAUUUUUUUAAAAAUUGUGUUGUUUUUAAAAAUACAUCCACAAGUUUCUGACGAUCUCCCUCCAUUUAUCCUCCCCUUCAGCAUGGUCUCUCUUGGUCACUUGUUUCUAAUGAGUGGGAAGCGGCUGAGGUGGCCGUGGGUGGCCUCUGUUGGCAUGUAGUUUCCUGCCUGCUCUCGGACACUGCGCUCUGGGGAAGCCGGCUGCCACGUCCGCAGGAUACUUGUGCAGCUCUCUGGGGAGGUCUGAGGCCUCUGCCAGCAAUGCUGCUGGCUGGGGGUGUGUGGAAGCAGGUCCUCCAGCCCCCGUUGAGCCUUCAGAUGAUGCAGCCCCAGCUGUCACCUUGAGGGCCUCAGGAGAGCUCCACGCCACCCAGCUAACCCAGAGACUGCAGGUGAGAAUGUAUGUUCCUGUCGUCAGGCACAAGUUUCAGAGCAGUGUUGUUACAUGGCGUAGGUAACUGGUGCCUAAGUGUGACUCCCUAACCACAGUGCUCACCUCCACUCAAGAAACUGCUGACAGCGGAUCAGACAUCUUGAGAAAGAGAAACCAAUGGAACGGACAUCUGAGAAAUAGGUGAAGAGCUGUCCUAGUCAGGCAAUGCCCGCCCUCGGAGUGGAUGGGGAAGGAUGGCGGCAGGCAGGUGGAUCGCAGCGGGAGGUCCAUUCUGUCCCCGCUCCCCAGGCUGUGCGGACCCACAGGGCAGAGGCUGCUGGCCUGCUGUCCCCUCCUGCACAGUGCCUGGGGCACCAGGCUCAUGGGGUGCACUCAGUGGGCAGGUUAGAGGGACUAGGAAGGAAGACCUCUUGUCCCAGGCAACCUGCAGAGGUGGGAGCCCUGGGGGGAGGCCCUGGGAGCAGCCCUGAGGGAGGGCACUGGCUCCGCAUCCACCUGGAGCUUUGCCCGGGAUUGCCAUUCCCGUCUUCCCAGGAUUCCAACUCUGUGCUUCGAAAUGUCGUGACACGAUCUCUUCUGUUGUCUUAGUUGGGGCUCUUUUUGUUACAAGUGACAGGAGCCCAGUGUGAAGGAGACUGUGCCUGGGGGCUCCUGCCCUGGGGGCUCAGGGACCAAGCCACGUCUGCUCAUGGUGGGACACAGUGUAGACACAGUGUUGACGUCUUAAAGCCUUACUGCUCAUUCCAUUAUGCAGAGGAGUGACUUCAGCUGCCAGCCCUGGUCCCCAAGGCUCCAGGAGAGGUUCUGUGGGACUAGACCCAGGUCAGCGGCUCUGACAGGGACAAGAUCGUGCAGCGCAGGCAUGGCCGCCGGCCGAAGGGCCUCCUGUGCCCAGGACGCUGCCGGCUCAUGUCCAGGUCAUUUCUUCCGCGCCGCAAAUCCUGCUUGCCCAAGAUGAAAAUGGAGCUUGUAAAGUUAGCACGGUGGACAUUUGUGCACUUAUGGGACUGAGGAGGCUUGAACUUCAUUCUGAGGGGAAAGAAGCCAGCCCUGGCUUUAUUACUCUGUCAGAUAACCCUGUCUCUUUAGGUUUCAAAAAUAUCUUCACCCCAUCGCAAGUGAGCAGGAGGGACUUCUGGGCCUCACGCACGUCACUACCGCAGUGAGUCCCUAGUACUGGUAAGAUGAGGUCGGGUCAAGGGCUCCCGGAGCGCUCUGCCUGCUGUGAUGCGUGAAGUUCUUCUAUUCACCAUGUCUCUCAGCGGAACUCGGUCCCACAAGCCCCCCCAGGAGAGCUGGUUUUGUCCCGAGUGCCGAGAUGCAUAAAAAAGUGGCUGGUCGGUUCCUCAGGACGCCACAGUCCAGUGAGGAGAGCAGAGGGUGCAGCAGCCCUUAUGGCUGGGUGAGGGGUACAGGGGCUCCAGGCAGGCACAGCUGCUCAGAGAGAGGGGUCUGGGCAGUCGUCACCAUCAGGUGGAUGGCUGAGGCAGGAUGUCACUGCGGGCUCCUUGUCCCUGGUCCUGACCAGAUUUGCUGUGACCACCUGGCUGGGCCCUGAAGAAGGCAGAGGAAUUGCUCAGGUGGGGCCAGGGCACAGGGCUGAGGCCUGCAGUUGGGCUGUGCCAGGUUGCAGAUAACAUCCGGGGCACCCCUGAGCAGGCGGCUCUUCUGCAUCGCUCCGUGUUCUGCUCUGUGUUUUCUGCCUUGGGAAGUGAUUAUUUUUCAAAAUAUUCUCUUAACUGCGGCGGGGGCAGGGCACUAGAAGCAUCCAGGCAUGAAGACAGCUCCCAGGUCAGCAGGGCUGGGGGAGCUGGGCUGGGCGGGGGCUGGAGGGCAGGAGGCUGUGCUCCCAUCACGGUCUGUCCCUGGCGUGAGCAGUGCAGGUGUGACAGUUCUAGGGUGGAGCGUGCUUUCGACUGAAACCACUCUCCCCAGGAUGUGCUUGCCUGCCUUUAUUAUUAUAGUUUAAUGUGUUUCCUUGUCCAUGUUAAAAAUGCUUGUGUUUAUUUUGCACCAACGGUUCAAAAAAUCCCACCCAUUCUAAAAUCCAAAUAGGAUUUCAUCUGAGUUAUACAACAGCCUGGCAAAGGGCAAGUCAAUGGAAUCAAUAUGAUCUGCCCUAGCGUCCGCGUAUUUUCCAGCCUGCUCCAUUGCUAAUCACUCCUGAAGCCUCCUUGGUGCCCCGGCUUUAUUGAUUGCCUCUGCAGAAUGUGUGUGUGGGGGGGUCCCCAAGGACACAAGGACACCACUGGCAGGGCCAGAGACAGAGGCACGCUCUCCAGAGGCCUGUCCUGCUGCUGCUGCUGCUGAGCAGGACUUCGGGCCAGUGGCCACCUAUCAUGACAUCGAAGCUGGCCCCAGAGAUCCCAGUACAGACGCCCCCAGGGCAGCAUCGCCUGCUCCACCUCUGCAGAGAGACAUCCCUGUGAGCUUGGGGUGUGGAGAGGAUGAGGGAAGAGCCCUCCGUGGAUGCCUUGGGCUUGGAGGUGUCUGCAUGGAUGAAGGCGCAGAUGGAAUCACCCCAGUUCUGCUGCUGCAGUAGCUGUGUGGCCGUGGGCAGGUUCUUCAAGCUGUGCCUCAGUCUCCCUGUCUAAAGGGGGACAUGAUGUACCCUUGGAGGAGGGUUGAGGUGAGGAGGCUGCCAGAGCCUGUCUGUGAGGUGGGGGGGCCCGAAUAACGUUCACUAAAAGUUCAUGUCUGCUCGGAACCUCGGAAUGUGACCUUUUUGGAAAUGGUCUUUGCAGAUGUAAUUAAAUAGGGGUUCGAGAUGGAAUCAUCCUGGACUAGGGUGGGCCCUAGAUCCAAAGACUGUUGUCUCUGCAGGAAUAGAAGACAGAGACACUGGAGGAGGCCACGUAAACACAGAGGCAGAGACUGGGGCCAUAUGGCCGAAAGCCAGGAGCACCGAGGACUGCCACGGCCACCACGGAGAGAGGCCUGGGACAGACGCCACUGCAGAGCCUCCAGAGAACGCAGCCAGCCUGCAGCUCGCGUGCAGCCUUCCGGCCCCCUGAACUGUGAGAAGAUGCAGUUCUAUUUUAAGCUGCUCUGUUUGGGCACCUUGUUACAGCAGCCCCAGGAAGCUACUGAGUGGGUGUUUGUGGUUGGCCGCCGAUCAUUCCCAAGGUCACGGCCCCAUCCUAAGCUCUGAGACCUGUGCACGUGACCUGUUUUGGAAAAAGGGCUUUUGCAGAUGUAAUUAGCUUAAGGAUCUUGAGAUGAGAUUAUUCUGGAUUACCGUGGGCCCCAAAUACCAUCUUAAGUGGCUCCGCAAGAGAUUUGGCACAUGGAGGAGGCUGUGUGACCAGAGGAGAGACUGGAGUGAUGUGGCCACAAGCCAAGGGCACCGGGAGCCCCCAGAGGCUGGAAGAGGAGAGGAAGGAGCCUCUCUAGGAGUGGCCUGCUGACAGCAGCCUCCAGAAUGGGGAGGGAAUCAGGUCUGUGCUCUCAUACUUAGGAGUGUCUUAUGGCAGCCUUAGGAAACAGAAGCACUGUUUCCCAUUCACAGCCUGGCCUCAGUCCCCAUCUGGGGGUUUCCCUGCAGCCUGGGGUCUCCCCACAUCCUGGGGUCUGCCUGCAUCCUGGAGUCUCCCCGCAUCCUGGGGUCUCCCUGCAGCCUAGGGCCUUCUCAUAGCCUGGGGCCUCCCCACAUCCUGGGGUCUGCCCGCAUCCUGGGGUCUCCCUGCAGUCUACCCAUGGUGCCAGGGCAGCUCUUCUUCCUGACACGUGUGAGGGGCCCUGGGGUGCAGAGAAUAAACUCCACCCAUCGGAUGUGAAUUCCAGCAGCCCUGGGGUUGGGUGAGUUUCCUGGAGCAGUGGCCGAGGGGUCAGGGGUGCAGUUCGCUGACUGUCCAGCUCAGCAUGCCCAGGGAGCUAGUGGGGUUCCCUGACACCGGGCAGCAGGUGGAGGCUGAGACAAAGGCCGAGCCAGCUGGAGGCUUUAGGGAGAUGCACUGGGUCCACUCCACAGGCAGCAGGACCCCAGGAUCACUGUGGGCAUUUGAGGAGUGGGUGUCAGGGCGGUCAGAAUGAGCCAGGGUGGAGGUCACGGGGGGUCAUCUUGAUGAGGGAGGUCACAGUGGGCAGAGUCUCGGGGCCCUGGGGUCGAGGGAGUGAGGCUGGAGAGCCUGGCUGACUGUGCUGGCGGGAUGACGCCUAACAUGGUCUCGGAGAUGGCACUUCUUCCACGGACGAGGGUGAGCGACGCGGGAACAGACUGCCCAUAAUCGGGUUCCAGGUCCAAUAAAGGUAAACCUCGAGGCGGAAAGGACCUAGAUGCAGGUGAGCACGGUCUUCCGCAUGUGAGUGCAUGUGUGUGUUGUAUGUGUAAGCGUGUGGCCAUGUGUGUGGUGCAUGAGCCCAGAGCCUGUCCACGGCAGCCCACUGGUGGGUCCGGCCCUGCCUGUGGAUUCAGCGCUCCACUGCAAAGCAAUAUGCAGCGUGUGAAAUGGCAACACAGAUCCUCGGUACCACCAUGAGCCUCACCAUUAGAUUUGGAUUGGAAUCCCUCCCUCUCUCCCACUUUAAACUGUGGGUCCUUGGAAAAGUUACCUGACAUUUCUGAUUUUCACAUUCUUACCUGUAAACCCUCCCAGAGCUCAAAUGAGCCAUGUGGGAAUGGGGUUGGGGAUGGGGGAGGCACGCAGUCACCCUCGCCUUCCUUUUUUCUCUCUCGGUAAUUGUGUUCUUCUAUGUCAAAGGAAAAGAAUAAAACUAGAAAAUUAUUUGGGGGAAAAAGAAGAAGACACACAUGCAAGUGCCACAGGAACCUGUGGGGUUCAGCCUGCUGGGGGAGAGACGCUCCGUGGUCUUCGAAGUGUUUCAUAACGUCUCUGCAGCAGCCACAUUCCCCAUGCUCAGCGGCAGCUCACAGCCUGGAUGGCAGUGCAGUGUAGACACUUGAGCUGCGGGCAGGACUCUUCCUGGUCCUUGUGGCUGAGCACACAGUGCCGGGCCAGGCGGUGCACGCUGGGGGACCAUGGGCCGGGCUGGUCCUGGCUCUGCACUGUCCCUGUGACCCUCAGGAUGUUGCUCAGUGUCUUCUGGCGAUGGUUCCUUUCUUGUAAGAUGCGAGGCCGACAGCAUCGGCUGCUAGGAGUUGUGAGGACCAUGUGAAUUCAUUUCAGUUGGGUGCAGCGCCGGCCUAGUAAUCUCAGUGACCCUCAGUCGCUCAGCCAGUGAUUGUGCCCACCUGCCACCGUCAGAAGAUGGCGGACUUGGGGGGUCAGGAGAGCCCUUCCAGGACUGCAGAAGCUGGUCCUUGGGGGUCUCGCAGCAGAUCCCGGGGGCAUUCCCAGUAUGGGUGCAAUGUACAUGGGGGGGCUCAGGACGGGAGGCCCAUGCCAGCCCCUGGGCCUCCAGAGCUGGCAGAAGGCACAGCCCUGCAUGGCCAAGGGCGCUGGGCUGCGUGGAGAAUGUGCGGGUUCUGUUGUCCUGCCAGCUUAAGCAGUUUACCAAACCAAACAAAAAAAAGGAUAUGCAACAGGGACAGCAUGUGGCCCAUGAGGCCUCAAAUACUGCCUCUGGCCCUUCACAGAACACUGUUCUAGAACGGAAACCCUAUGCUCGCGGGCUAGGGCCUUGCUGGGUGGGGAGAGGGGUUCAGAAUAUGGUUUGUCACUUCCUAUGAGGGUCAUCCGACAGGACUUUGUGGAGACAGUGGCGUUUAAGUGGCCCAAGAAGAACUGGAAGGAUUUAGAGGAGUGGUGGGACCUGGCCUGGUGGGCGGAAGUCAUGUGUGGGUGUUGCAGGCUCUGCGCGGCUCUGACGGCUGCUCCAACGCAGGCAGGUGCCCCCCAUGUUUAACGGGCAUCAAGUCUGCAAGUCAUAAACUUGGUUACCCCCAGAACGUUGUUUAAACAGUACUGUGUUCUAGAACAUGCUGAGAUAGCAUUUAUGCAACUGAUGCUAAGGUGUGGAAUGGGUUAGUCCGGCUUUUUCCUCAACACAGGAGGAGGACAGGGAGAGGGCAGCAUUGCUCCUGAGCGGGUGAGGCCAAUUUCAUCCUGAGUGAUGGUGACAGUAAUAACUGAUAAGAAAUGAAAUCACAGAUUUUCACACGCAGAGCUCGACAAAUGGCUGACCCUUCCUCCAUCUCUCGGUGCUCAUGCUGGAGAGUGAUGGGCCCUCCCUCCACUGUCAGGGGGACGUGCUGGAGAGCGACAAGCCUUACUUCCAAUCCUUGGUGCUUCUGCUGGAGGGCAAGGGGCCCUCCUUCCACUCCUUGGUGCACGUGCUGGAGAGUGAUGGGCCUGCAGUCCACUCCUCAUGCUCCUGCUGGAGAGCCACGGGCCCUCCCUCCAAUCUUUGGUGCUUCUGCUGGAGAGUGACGGGCCCUCCCUCUACUCCUCGUGCUCCUGCUGGAGAGCGACGGGCCCUCCCUCCACUCCUCGUGCUCCUGCUGGAGAGCGACGGGACCUCCCUCCAGUCCUCGGUGCGCUGCUGGAGAGCGACAGAAGCUCGGCCUUCUUAGGGUGUUUGGGACCCCGUCCAGCAUGGUUUUGCUUUAGUUCCCCACCCAGGGAGAGGAGCUCGGCAAGCAGCACCAAGUUUAUUCUUGCUCAUUUAUUCAAAAGAAAGGUACUGAAUUUGAAAAUGCACCAAGCACUGGAGAGAAGAGAAAGGUGAAAGGACCUCGGGGCCUGCCUGUAAGAGGCUUGGGAUGUGGCUGGGGAUGAGGCCCAGGAUGAGGCCUGGUGGCACCUCCAAAGCAGAUGAGGGGGUCUGGAUCCCACCAUCGGAGCAUGCACGCACCUGUCCACUCCCUCAGGACUGCAGACAAGGUCCAUUCUUGUAUUUUUAGGUUGAAUUAAAUCCGUCUCUAGCCCCUGCCUCUGAACUGAUGGAGUCUGGCUGUUACUGGGCCUCCCUCACUUGCAAGGGAUGGAACCAGAGCUUGGGGCUCAGGCGCUCCUGGAGUGUUUAGUGCCUCUGCUGUCAGGACAUCGUGUGGCCACUGGCACGCUGUCUGCCCACACAGUGCCCCCGACCAGCAGCGGAGCUACCCUCUCUCCACAGCCAGGGUUGGGAGCCCUGGGGCCCGAGUCCCCGGUCCCACGUGCCACACAAGGCAGGACAUUCUGGGUGCUGUCACAUCCCUGGAAUCAGGGCCUGGACCCUGGUCAGAGCAGGACCUGCAGGUGACCCCGGGUGGGGCAGACUGUCUUCUGUCCUUGGUGGCAAAGCCGGCGUUCUUGGCGUCAUGUCUGCACAUAUGUGCCUGAAGCCAUGGGAACGCAGGGACGACCUCUGGGCCUGGGCCUGUGGAGCAGACUGGGAAGGACACACAGGCGGGAGUCUCAAGAACUGUGGUGCACACAGCUGAGCCCCUGCAGCUCUGCUCUGCCGGGCCUCGCCCUUGGUGCUGGGUGCAAGACGUGACAGGAUGGCAUGGGAAGCUUCCCGAGGAACGCUGGAACUGGGUGUUUGUUUGAAGGAGAACCUCAUGGCGGCAGCUCCAGCCCAUGCACUGCAACUGUGGGGCUGUGUCAGGAGCAGGUGUCACGGAACCUGUGUGGGUCCAGGGCAAGAGGUAAAGAGAAUGUGGAUGGGGCUGCACUGUCCUGGGGUUGAGGGCAGGCUUCAGGGUGUGACACUGAAUAGGGACUAGGAAGGUGCAUGCCAGGAGGGGUCCAGGCAGAGACAACAGGUGGGUGCACAAUCCUUGAGGGGGCGCAGAAGAGGCCGGCAGUGUAAGGCAGGACGGCGAUGCCCACGGGCUCCAACGCCUGCCGCAUAACUGGAAUUCUGUCUGUGGCCUCCAGUGUCUGACAUUCAUUCUCACACCUGCAGGAACACCAGAAGCCCCUGGAGGGCCGUGCAGACGACACUGUUGGCCCGGCCCAGGCCCCAGCAGUUCUGACUCCUCUGUGAUCAGAGGGUGGGGCUGAGGACGUGCAUUUCCGACAAGUUCCCAGGAGAUCCUGGCGCUGCUGCUUCAGGGAUCCCACUUUGAGGAUCACUGAUCUAACACUGCCCCUCGUGGCAAACGUGGAAUGACUCCAAGAUUCGGCUGGAUGGAUCAUUCAGGGAGCAAAUCCACCUUUGCCGCCUGGCACACCCUGGCCAUCCGUUGGAGCCUGGGCACCGCUGUCUGCUUUCCUGCACAACUGGCCGGGGACAGCUGAGCCCCGGGCCUGGAAAGGACAGGCUCCAUACCUCUGGCAAAGCCUGCAAGAUGCCUGCAGUGAGGGGCCAGGUGGGAGCAGAGGAAGAGCCUUGCAUCUCAUCCCUGAAGUCAGAUUUGGAGGAAGACCCUCAAGGUAAAGGGCUUCUAAUUACAUCUUCAGCUUUCUGGGCUUAACAAUAGUUUCAUUUUUCUUUUCGAAGAGAAAGAUUUUGAAACCUCCUUGGUGUCCAACAGUCCUUUUGGCCGUCUCACCUCUUUUUAUUUUAAUGCAUAAUUAAUCUAGAUGGCAGCAAAUGGGCUGAGACUGUCUGGUAGAUGCUGUGUUUGUAUGUUUCUACUCCAUUACAGAAAUUAACAGAAAUAUGGCUUCGCUUUGUGCAGAUGUUUAUAUCACAGUCUGUAAAAUGAAUUAUAUUUAAAACUAUCCACAAAGGUAGAUAUUUAGAGAACCCUUGUCAGAGUUCUUUCGUAAAGUGAAGAAAUUUUCAGGUACUUUAAGUUCUUCAAAAGCAGGAAUAACUGUGUAAACGUGAAGGCAAAAGGCCUUUCAGGCAUGAGAGAACACAUGAAAACAUGUGUCUGGCUUCAAAACCACCCCCAGCCCCUGCCUGCCUGUGUUUUACGUGCUCUUCCUUUACUGGAUUAUGUGUCGUGGUUCCUGUUCCUCAGCUCACUCUCCACAUGGACGCAUAAACUAUGGGAGAAACGGUGAUGGCCUCUCCUCCACCGCCAGGCUGGCAGGGGUCGUUUGGCCGGCAUCAGGCUGGAGGAGACUCGGAUGGGUAAGACCAACGCACUUAGUUUUGGGGGUGUGGGGAGGGCAAGAGGAGCAUGAGCGGCGGUCUGUGGGGGGUGUCUUCUCUGUUGUAAACCCCCUGUACGUGCAGGUGCAUGGCGAGAGGGUCUCCACACCUCCCAGCGUUUCUCUGAGGAUGUCCAGAAGGAAUGAGCAAAGCAGGAUUGGCCCCCAGAACAGAGGCCCCGAGUCUGACUCCAGAUUUCCUGUGUCUACGAGCUGUGUCCUCCUAGCACGCCUGCCCCUUGCGUUCAUGAGCAGUGGCCCAGCUGCAGGGACUGUGUGGCUGAAUGCCGACCAACUGCGGGGCAGUCCUGGGCUGGGCCGUGGCUUGGGACCAAGACGACACGCAGCCAGACACCAGUGAAGCAGGAGUUUUAUUGAGUCCCUCCGUGUCACAUUAAUACCUUCAUGACACAGUUCCAAAGGCCCGGGUCCUUCUGACGUAGUGUGUUGGCAGCAGCUAGGCCAGCUUGAGGCACUGCGUGUUGAAGCUGUCCCCUUCCUUGCUGGCGACAGCCUCCAGCAGGGCCUGUUUCUUCUGCGUGCUCCGCGAGGACUCCAGCUCGUACAUGGUGGUCAGGUUGAAGAGCACGCUCUCGUGCAGAUAGUGCCUGGGGUCCUGCUGGACCAUGGCCUCCAGCUGCCGCAGGGAGUCCUUGAGCUUGCCCAGGUACAGCAGACACACGGCAGCGUUGUUGUUGGCCUAGGGAGGAGCACACGCACAGGGUCGGCCCACACAACCAGGACAGACGCCCGCCCGUUCCACGCUGUGUGCUGGGCCCUGUGUUAGGGGCCUGCGGGUGGUGCAGAGCUGCUGGGCGGAGCCUAGGUGGCCCCGCUGGGUCACUUCCCUUAAGGGCCACGGCCACUGCCUGGAGCUGGUGGACUGGAGAGCGCAGGCCCCUGCUGAGGCGUGUGUGGGUGUGUUUCUAGCGUCUGUGAAAGGCAGAGGACGGAGGAUCUGCAGCUUGGGGAUCUUACCACGGCGUUUGCUGGGUUCAUCCUUAGGAUCUCUGUGAAGAACCUGUGGGCUUCUGCAAAGUUGUUCUGCCCGAGGUGAAGGAAUGCUCUGUAACACAAGCAACGGCGGCAGUUAGCGGGGAAGCCCAGGAGCUGCUGUCCCCCAACACAACCCACAGGUUCACGGCAACCUCCACCUGGAUUCAAGCGAUUUUCCUGCCUCAGCCUCCCAAGUAGCUGGGAUUACAGGCGACUGCCACCAUGCCCGGCUAAUAUUUUGUAUUUUUAGUAGAGACGGGGUUUCACCAUGUUGGCCAGGCUGGUCUCAAACUCCUGACCUCAAGUGAUCUACCCGCCUCAGCCUCCCAAAGUGCUGAGAUUACAGGCAUGAGCCACUGCGCCCGGCCAAGCCACUCUAGUUUUUAUUAAUUGAGAUAGAGUAACUUCACCUAAAUGACUUCCUGCUAAAAACGGACACCUGCUUCAUUUAGGCUUUCUGAUCCUGGGUGCAGGCUUUGUCCCAGGCGUGUUUCCUCCUCACGAAUGUGCACUCGCACAACGCUGUGCGUUCUGCCACAGAACACCAGAGCACAGGAUCCAGAACGGCCGCUAUGUCAGCAAUGGUGAUCUUUACGCACACAUAUGCUGAAAAUGGGGGCAAUACAAGCGCUUCUCUGAAGAACAAGGGGGAAAUAUCUCCUUAAAAAUCAGCUGCUGUGACUAAAAGAACAUCAUGCGAUUCAAGAAAACACCCAUGUACUCCUUGGGUCUCAGUUCUGAGAGACACAGGGCAAGAGGAGACACAGAGAGAAGCUCGUCUCUAGGGAGCUUUUCUACUCAGUAAGUGGGGCUUAAACGCCUCUGAGAAAUUUGAGAAAACAUAUAUUUAGUUUUAAAAUAUUUACCUGUUCAUUAAAACCAUGAUUUUACCCUGUA